GAGUUUGAUCUUGGCUCAGAUUGAACGCUGGCGGCAUGCCUUACACAUGCAAGUCGAACGGCAGCACGGGAGCUUGCUCCUGGUGGCGAGUGGCGAACGGGUGAGUAAUGCAUCGGAACGUAUCCUGGAGUGGGGGAUAACGUAGCGAAAGUUACGCUAAUACCGCAUAUUCUGUGAGCAGGAAAGCGGGGGACCUUCGGGCCUCGCGCUCUUGGAGCGGCCGAUGUCGGAUUAGCUAGUUGGUGAGGUAAAGGCUCACCAAGGCGACGAUCCGUAGCAGGUCUGAGAGGAUGAUCUGCCACACUGGAACUGAGACACGGUCCAGACUCCUACGGGAGGCAGCAGUGGGGAAUUUUGGACAAUGGGGGCAACCCUGAUCCAGCCAUGCCGCGUGAGUGAAGAAGGCCUCGGUUGU
rnacentral:rRNA from 1 species